rnacentral:lncRNA from 1 species
AAAACUGAAUGGUUGAAAUGACCAAAAAAAAAGGUUGCAACCAUUUAAAAUGGUUGUUUCAACCAAUUAAAUUGGUUAAAACCAAAUUAAAAUGGUAGAAAUAACCAAUAAAAAAUUGGUAAAAUGGAUAUGAAAGCUCAUAUUGGUAAAAACAACCAAAUAUAUUUAGUAGCAACAAAUAAAAUUUGGUUAAAUUUACCAAUUACUCUUUGUGGUCAAUGGGGUAUAUUUGUAGACUUCUGGUUCUAUGUUCUAUUGAAUCCAAUAAAAUAUGCUAGAAUGCUAUAGCACAUUCUAAAUCCUAUGGCUAUAGAAUAUUCUAUAGGACUUCUUAUGAUCUUAUGCUAUAUAGAAUUCCAUUGCCGUAUUCUAUAGAAUUCACAAAUCCUAUAGAAUUUACAAAUCCUAUAGAAUAUUAAAUCUUAAAAUUAAAUUUCUCAGCAAAAAUCACUCGUUUUGUAAGGACAAAUCACACAUGCAUGUAUCUGUAAACUGUCUUCAUAAUAUACCUGUUCGCAGGUUACGUGGCGGGCGUUUUGCCCAAAGAGGACCGCAAGGUUAUGUGGGACUUGUAUAACCGACACGCGUUAUUUUCAAAUUUUGAGCGCGUCUUUGACUCUUUGUCAUCGGUUCAAGGUUUUAUAGUAGAAUUUAGUGAGUUUUUCUUUCGUAUUUUAACAUAAAAUACGCGUUAUUUGAAUUUGUCAAUGAGUAGUCAUGCGAAAUUGGUGAAACACGCUGGAUUAAUAUGCGAGGAGAUCCGGAUUAUUUGUGAAUAGUGACUGUGAUCGCGAGGAAGAAGUAAUUGUGUCAUGGCCAUGUGGAAUUUCUAAAGUUGAUAAGAAAAUAAUCAAAGGUUCCAUUCAACUAUCUACAAUUUCAACAACAACAUGUGUACAGCUAAAGUAUUAUAAUUCAGUGGCUUCAAGAUCACCUUUAAGUGCAAGAUUCUUGUGACUGAUGCUGAAUCAGAAAUCCUCAAAUUCUGAUGCUGAAUCAGAAAUCCUGGAUGCAAGAACAACUUUGCUCUCAUUCCAUCCCUGGGAAACUUUCAAAUUAUGCCUUUAAAGAAAAGGAUGCAAAACCCCAACUCGACCCAGAGAAAGUUAAGAGUAUAUGUGAGCAUCAUUUCGAUGCACAUGGUUAAGAUGCCCAAACAUUGAUUCAAAGAAGCCAUCAAUGCUGGCUGUUCUGGAAAAGAACAAGAACAAAGAUGUCCAACACAUUAUUGGUCUAUUAGAGGAUUGUCACCCGAACUAGAAAAAGGUAUCUACAGAUAUAUAUGUAUAUAAUAUACAAUGUUGAACUAUGCAAAUCACAUUUAUUAUGUUGCCUGCUGAAUCUUGUAAUCAAACUUAUUUAAUAGAAAUUGAAAACCAUUGCAUCUACACUGCCCCGCUGCAUCAGUUGAGGCAGAGAAAGACCUGGACAAUUAUUUUGGGAAAUUGUCCCUGUAAAUAUUAAACUAUAGUUCAAGAGUUACUCCAUAAGAACUAAAAAUAUGCUCAAGUGGCUGCUUGUCAUGUGUAGGGUCUUGCUCUUUUGUGUCCCAGGAUUUUUGCCAUAUGUAAAUGUUUUAUUUCCAAGCUUAGGAAUAUAAAGUUUUAUAAUUUUUAACUUUUA